UAGGGAAUCUUCGGCAAUGGACGAAAGUCUGACCGAGCAACGCCGCGUGAGUGAAGAAGGUUUUCGGAUCGUAAAACUCUGUUGUUAGAGAAGAACAAGGACGUUAGUAACUGAACGUCCCCUGACGGUAUCUAACCAGAGAGCCACGGCUAACUACGUGCCAGCAGCCGCGGUAAUACGUAGGUGGCAAGCGUUGUCCGGAUUUAUUGGGCGUAAAGCGAGCGCAGGCGGUUUCUUAAGUCUGAUGUGAAAGCCCCCGGCUCAACCGGGGAGGGUCAUUGGAAACUGGGAGACUUGAGUGCAGAAGAGGAGAGUGGAAUUCCAUGUGUAGCGGUGAAAUGAGUAGAUAUAUGGAGGAACACCAGUGGCGAAGGCGGCUCUCUGGUCUGUAACUGACGCUGAGGCUCGAAAGCGUGGGGAGCAAACAGG
rnacentral:rRNA from 1 species